CGACUGUUUAGCAAAAACACAGGUCUGUGCGAAGCCGCAAGGCGAAGUAUACGGGCUGACGCCUGCCCGGUGCUGGAAGGUUAAGGGGAGUGGUUAGGGGUAACCCGAAGCUAUGAACCGAAGCCCCAGUAAACGGCGGCCGUAACUAUAACGGUCCUAAGGUAGCGAAAUUCCUUGUCAGGUAAAUUCUGACCCGCACGAA
rnacentral:rRNA from 1 species